GACGAACGCUGGCGGCGUGCUUAACACAUGCAAGUCGAACGGUGAAGCGCCUUCCUUUUUGGUGGGUGUGGAUGAGUGGCGAACGGGUGAGUAACACGUGAGUAACCUGCCCCCUUCUUCUGGAUAACCGCAUGAAAGUGUGGCUAAUACGGGAUAUUCUGGGUCUGUCGCAUGAUGGGUCUGGGAAAGAUAUUGUUUCGGUGGGGGAUGGGCUCGCGGCCUAUCAGCUUGUUGGUGGGGUGAUGGCCUACCAAGGCGGUGACGGGUAGCCGGCCUGAGAGGGUGUACGGUCACACAGGGACUGAGACACGGUCCGGACUGCUAUGGGAGGCAGCAGUGGGGAGUAUUGCACAAUGGGGGCAAGACUGAUGCAGCGACGCCGCGUGAGUGAUGGAGGCCUUCGGGUUGUGAACCUCUUUCGCCAGUGAAGCAGGCCUGCCUCAUUUGUGGGUGGGUUGACGGUAGCUGGAGAAGAAGCGCCGGCUAACUACGUG
rnacentral:rRNA from 1 species